rnacentral:lncRNA from 1 species
CAGAGGAACUUCCUCAGUGAAGCGAAUUGCUUUCCAACUAUGCGAAGACAUUGCCACAAGCACGAUGAAUGAAAUUUCCUUUACGUACGAACUCAUCGUCGGUUGUCGCUAAUUACAACAUCAGUAGCGUCGCAUCGCUACAAGAUAGUUUGAACUCGGAUAGAAGCUGCACAGAAGUAGCCAGUAUGAAUACGCCACUCAGAAGAACUGUUUUCUUCUGCAUGGCAAUCUUUACAUUGAACCUAUUCGAAAAGAUUUAUGCGCGCCCCCAUAUUGAAAAGCAAUCCAAGAGCGAAUUUGGCCGUAAUGCGCCAACGUCAAUAUAUGCAGCACUGCAAGGACUCUACCAUGAUGCUGUGCGCCUAUUCGGAGCCGUGCUCCAUAAAUAACCUUCUUUCCUAUCUAAAUCUCCAGGCCAAAUAAAAUGC